UACAGAGGUCUCAAGCGUUGUUCGGAUUCAUUGGGCGUAAAGGGCGCGUAGGCGGAUCUUUAAGUCGGGGGUGAAAGCCUGUGGCUCAACCACAGAAUUGCCUUCGAUACUGGGGAUCUCGAGACCGGAAGAGGUGAGUGGAACUGCGAGUGUAGAGGUGAAAAUUCGUAGAUAUUCGCAAGAACACCAGUCGGCGAAGGCGGCUCACUGGUCCGGUUCUGACGCUGAGGCGCGAAAGCGUGGGGAGCAAACAGG
rnacentral:rRNA from 1 species